rnacentral:rRNA from 1 species
UCGAGAAUUUUUCACAAUGGGCGAAAGCCUGAUGGAGCGACGCCGCGUGGGGGAUGAAUGGCUUCGGCCCGUAAACCCCUGUCAUUCGCGAGCAAACGUUAUUAUUUAAAAGAUGAUAGCCUGAUAGUAGCGAAAGAGGAAGGGACGGCUAACUCUGUGCCAGCAGCCGCGGUAAUACAGAGGUCCCAAGCGUUGUUCGGAUUUACUGGGCGUAAAGGGUGCGUAGGUGGUGGGGUAAGUCGGAUGUGAAAUCUCCGAGCUCAACUCGGAAAGUGCAUUAGAAACUACCCUGCUCGAGGGUUGGAGGGGGGACUGGAAUACUUGGUGUAGCAGUGAAAUGCGUAGAUAUCAAGUGGAACACCAGUGGCGAAGGCGAGUCCCUGGACAACUCCUGACACUGAGGCACGAAAGCUAGGGGAGC